UACGGAGGAUGCGAGCGUUAUCCGGAUUUAUUGGGUUUAAAGGGUGCGUAGGCGGCUUUUUAAGUCAGCGGUGAAAUUUUGCAGCUUAACUGUAACAGUGCCGUUGAUACUGGGGAGCUAGGAUUUGGUUGCUGUGGGUGGAAUGUGUGGUGUAGCGGUGAAAUGCUUAGAGAUCACACAGAAUAUCGAUUGCGAAGGCAGCUCACAAAGCCAAGAUUGACGCUGAGGCACGAAAGUGUGGGUAGCAAACAGGAUUA
rnacentral:rRNA from 1 species